GUUGGAAUAGAGCCAUAUAGAAUAGAGGCAGAGACAGAUGGAAUAGAGACCGAUAGAGUAUACCUUGAUAGAGUAAAGCCAGAUAGAAUAGAGCCAGAUAGAAUAGAGCCAGAUAGAAUAGAGCCAGAUAGAGUAGAGACAGCUAGAAUAGAGACAGAUAGAAUAGAGACUGAGACAGAUGGAAUAGAACAAGACAGAUGGAAUAGAGACCGAUAGAGUAUACCUUGAUAGAGUAGAGCCAGAUAGAAUAGAGCCAGAUAGAAUAGAGCCAGAUAGAGUAGAGCCAGAUAGAAUAGAGCCAGAUAGAAUAGUCAUAUGGAAAGAGACAGAUAGAGUAGAGACAGAUAGAGUAGAGACAGAUAGAAUAGUCAUAUGGAAAGAGACAGAUAGAAUAGUCAUAUGGAAAGAGACAGAUAGAGUAGAGACAAAGACAGAUAGAAUUCAGCCAGAUCGAAUAGAGCCAGAUAGAGUAGAGCCAGAUAGAGUAGAGCCAGGUCGAGUAUAGCCAGAUGGAGUAGAGCCAGAUGGAGUAGAGCCAGCUGGAGUAGAGACUGAUACAAUAGAGCCAGAUAGAAUAGAGCCAUAGCCAGAUGGAGUAGAGACAGAUGGAGUAGUGCCAGAUGGAGUGGAGCCAGAUGGAAAAGAGCCAGAUAGAGUAGAGACUGAUAGAAUAGAGACAGAUAGAGUAGAGACUUGUAGCAUAGAGCCAUAUACAGAUGGAAUAGAGACAGAUAGAAUAGUACCAGAUAGAGUACAGCCAGAUAGAAUAGAGCUGGAGACAGAUAUAAAAGAGCCAGAUAGAAUAGAGCCAGAGAUAUAUGGAAUAGAGACAGUUGGAAUAUAGACAGAUAGAGUAGAGCCAGAUGGAGUAGAGCCAGAUAGAUUAGAGCAAGACAGAGUAUAGCCAGAUUUAAUAGAUCCAGCUAGAAUAGUGCCAGAUGGAGUAGAGCCAGAUAGAUUAGAGCAAGACAGAGUAUAGCCAGAUAGAAUAGAUCCAGCUAGAAUAGAGCCUGAUAGAGUAGAGACAGAGACAGAUGGAAUAGAGACAUAUAGAAUAGAGCCAGAGACAGAUGGAAUAGAGCCAUAUAGAAUAAAGGCAGAGACAGAUAGAAAAGAGACAGAUAGAAUAGAGGCAGAGACAUAUGGAAUAGAGACAGAUACAGCCAGAUGGAGUAGAUAGAGGCAGAGACAGAUAGAGUAGAGAAAGAUAAAAUAGAGACAGAGAGAUAUUGAAUAUAGCCAGAUGGAGUAGAGCCAGAUAGAUAGAGCCAGAUAUAGUAGAGACAGAUAAAAUAGAGACAGAGACAUAUUGAAUAUAGCCAGAUGGAUUAGAGCCAGAUGGAACAGAGAGAUAUUGAAUAUAGCCAGAUGGAUUAGAGCCAUAUAGAAUGGAGCCAGAGACUGAUAGAAUAGAGACCGAUAGAAUAGAGACUGAUAGAGUGGAGACAGCUGGAAUAGAGACAGAUAGAAUAGAGCCAGAGACGGAUAGAAAAGAGACAGAUAAAAGAGGUGGAUACAGAUGGAAUAGAGCCAGAUAGAGUAGAGACAGAUAAAAUAGAGACAGAGACAUAUUGAAUAUAGCCAGAUGGAUUAGAGCCAGAUGGAGAAGAGGCAGAUGGAAUAGAGCCAGAGACAGAUAAGAGCCAGAUAGAGUAGAGACAGCUGGAAAAGAGACAGAUAGAAUAAAGCCAGAAACGGAUAGAAAAGAGCCAGAUAGAGUAGAGACAGAUACAGAUGGAAUAGAGCCAUAUAGAAUAGCGGCAGAUGGCGUAGAGACAGAUAGAGUAGAACCAGAUAGAGUCGAGACGGAUAGAAUAGAGCUAGAGACAGAAGGAAUAGAGACAGAUGGAGUUGAGCAAGACAUAGUAUAGCCAGAUAGAAUAGAACCAGAUCGAAUAGAGCCUAAUAGAUUGGAGACAGAUAGAAUAGUGCCAGAUAGAAUAGUGCCAGAUAGAAUUGAGACAGAUGAAAUAGAGACAGAUAGAAAAGAGACAGAUAAUAUAGAGCCAGAUGGAGUAGAGCCAGAUAGAAUAGAGACAGACAUAAUGAGCCAGAUGGAGAAGAGCCAGAUAGAAUAGAGACAGACAUAAUGAGCCAGAUGGAGAAGAGCCAGAUAGGUUUUUCUUUAUUUUAACUAUGUUCUUCAUUGUAGAAUAACAGUAAGACAUCAGAACUAUGAAAUAACACAUGGAAUCAUGUAGUAACCAAAAUGGUGUUAAACAAAUCAUAAAACCCUCCUGUCUCAGCCUCCAGUAUUUAUGCUGCAGUAGUUUAUGUGUCUGUCGGGGGCUAGGGUCAGUUUGUUAUAUCUGGAGUACUUCUCCUGUCUUAUCCAGUGUCCUGUGUGAAUUUAAGUAUGCUCUCUAAUUCUCUCUAAUUCUUUAUUUUUCUCUCUCUCGGAGGACCUGAGCCCUAGGACCAUGCCUCAGGACUACCUGGCAUGAGGACUCCUUGCUGUCCCCAGUCCACCUGGCCGUGCUGCUGCUCCAGUUUCAACUGUUCUGCCUGCGGCUAUGGAACCCUGACCUGUUCAACCGGACGUGCUACCUGUCCCAGACCUGCUGUUUUCAAUUCUCUAGAGACAGCAGGAACGGUAGAAAUACUCUCAAUGAUCGGCUAUGACUCGGCUAUGAAAAGUCAACUGACAUUUACUCCUGAGGUGCUGACUUGUUGCACCCUCGACAACUACUGUGAUUAUUAUUAUUUGACCCUGCUGGUCAUUUAUGAACGUUUGAACAUCUUGGCUAUGUUCUGUUAUAAUCUCCACCCGGCACAGCCAGAAGAGGACUGGCCACCCCUCAUAGCCUGGUUCCUCUCUAGGUUUCUUCCUAGGUUCUAGCCUUUCUAGUUUUUCCUAGCCACCGUGAUUCUACAUCUGCAUUGCUUGCUGUUUGUUGUUUUAGGCUGGGUUUCUGUACAGCACUUUGUCAGCUGAUAUAAGAAGGGCUUUAUAAAUAAAUGUGAUAAUUAAAGUGGAUUGAUAAUAUAUUUUAUAAUUGAGAUUCUUCAAAUAGCCACCCUUUUCCUUGAUGACAGCUUUGCACACUCUUGCCAUUCUCUCAGUUCACAGAGGAGUAUAGAGUGCAGUGAUGUGUCCUAUAAGGAGCAUUGGUGGCAAAUCUGAUGGCCGAAUGGUAAAGAACAUCUAACCGC
ensembl:lncRNA